UUUUUCACAGACCACCUUUUCCAAAACAAGGAGUCACACUUAGGGUUUUUCUUUCUUAUUUUGUUUACCCUUUAAAAAUAAAACAAAAAUAAGUGGCGACUCCAAGUCAUUCUUUUAACCAAUAAAAAUCAUCUUUCAAAUCAAAAUCGAGCUCGCCAUCGAGUGGGAAACGCAUUGAGCCGAAAUGCGGGGUCCACAGGGAUAUUAAUGGUUUUGGAAACCUAAGUGUAUAAAAUAUGAGAUGUCACUGUUAAUUGGUAAAAUAAUAUCCAAAACAUGCAUUAUGUCCUGUUUACUUUUCUUCUUCCCAGAUUGCCCCUAAAUUUCUCCAUGUCAUCAGCAAAUUAUCCCAUGUCAGCAGAGCACAAAGAAACCCGACCCGAGAACCAGGAAUCUCUCUCUCUUCCCGUCAUUUUGCCCUAACCCCAUCUCAGGAAAUUCCCAAUUUCUAAAUUUCUCAUCUUCUUCCCACAAGCCCCUCGUUGAAUUUGCUAGCUACCUCUUCAUGUCGCGGCAUUUCGUUCGACAACCCUUCAAUCAAAUCUUUCUCAUAUUUCAGAUAUGUGGGUUUUCAAAGCCAUAUAUCUUCCAUAGCAGCCUGCAAUCACAACUUUCCCUUUUUAAUACGCCUGCUUCACUUGCUCCAAUUUUAAAGUGCCCAAAAAAAUUUUCACUUGCGUAAUUUCCUCACGAAAAUGUCUUCCAUCGAAACUUCAAAGGGAAUCCUGGAAAUCGGAAAGUUCGCUUUCUAUGUCUCAAUCCCGAUUGAUCUGAUGUAUACUUUGGCAAACAAUUCCGAGAAUAUGAAGAAACUCGUCCAGAAGGUAUUCUUUUUCCUCAGUCGGUGCUAUGAAAUUGGUGUGUUCUGGUUAUUGAAUCUGUGAUUACAUGACACCUGGGGAUUUUUUGAAGUAAAAGAGAAGAAAAUGCUUAAGAAAAUGGACCAUUCUGAAGCAUUUUAUUUUUCUUUCAUCCGAAUGGUCCUUAGUUUGUGGAGAAUAUUCUCGAUAGGGCUGAACUAGUUUUUCUUUCGAAGAUUGAAUCGAGAUUUAUUACAUUUUUGUGGUUUGGAAAAUCCUUAUUAAUUGGUUGAUAGAGUAAUUUUGGGGAUCCAUCAUUGAUGUUAGACAUUUUUUGAAUUGGGAACUAUUCUGAUUCUUACACGUCGUGUUUAGGUCUAACAUUUUCAGACUAUAAACUUCUUAGAUACGUGUCCAAUGUUCCUCAAAAGUCUCCUUACUUAUACAGGAAUCAAAUAUCUCUUUUUUACUCGCUUAUACGAAUUUAUGAAUGAAACAAUGGUAAGUUAGUAUAAUUUCUUAGGAAUUUGAUCAAAUAGAAUCUGCCUAUCCACCUUUGCUAAAAGGAUUCUCGAGGCUCUCAGAGAAUUAAUGGUAAACAAUAAGGAUAGGGAGAAUAAGGAGAUAAAGAGCAGAAGUAAGACAAGGUAGCUCCAAAAUAUUGGGGUUGUGACAAUGUUGAUAAUGUUGCUCUAGGCAAAACAUGACUAUGAAAGCAGACUCGACAUGGGUUUCCCCCAAACACUUGGAUUUUGCCUCUGGUUUCACAGGCUUUUUUGAAGUAUGGCUAGAUACUAGACCAGUGAUAGCCCCAAACACUAGGAUUUUGCCUCUGGUUUCACGGGCUUUUGAGAUACAAGAAGGGACUAGGCUUGUAUAUAAUAUUUUGAGCUGCUUUUAAGGUUUAUGGCACAUUUUUUUAUCUCUUAAUUGGAUUUGAAAUUCAAUACAACACCCUAAAUGGUUGUUUACUAGUGAUCUUAUGUUUUUUUUUUGUAUUUUCCCAAUGAGAUGUUUUGCAACAAUAAAUGGUUGCUUAGGUGUUAAGGAAUGUUUUAAAAAAUUUCUUAAAUAAAAUUUUAAAUUGUUUUCAAGAAUAAUUUUUUUUUUUUUGAGAACUUAAAUGUGAAAAACAGUUUUCUUGGCUUUUUCUCCAUGAAUGCACUAGAAAGAGUUUUUAAGAAAAGAAAUGAAAUCAUCAACCCAAUCAAAGAGAGAGAAAAAAAAAAAGAAAUGAUGAAAUUAUCAAAAUGUUUCCUAGUUCGUGUUAGUUUUGUGUUGUAAGAAAACAUGUACGCUUGCAAGCUUGGUUAAAAUGUGUGAAAAUCAAUGAUACAUAUCAAGGUAGCUUAUUUAAAUCAAUGAUCAGGUUCAUAUUUAUUACGUCUUAGGUUUUAUUAGGUAAGUAGAGACUUAUGUUUUAAUUAGGUAAGUAGAGACUUAUGUUUUAAUUAUUCUUGUUGGUAUUAUCCUUUAUUCGUAAAAGCUAGAAUUCAUAUUUGUAUGUCUAUCAUCUUCUGAAAUACAUUCAUAUUGUUUGGUGGAAGUUUGAUGUAUAUUUUUGAAUUUACUUUGAUUAGUUUUCUUAAGACUUUUGUUGUGCUUAGGAGAGAAUUUGAUUAAUGUGCUUCUAAAGGAUUGUGGACUAUGUUGCAUGGGUUGGGGUAUGAGUGUCAAGUGCAGGUGUUUGUCUAAUUGUUCAAUCCUUCAUAACUCAAAUUUUAGGUUGUGAAGACUUGGCUAAAAAUGAUCCUAAAAAGGGGCAUGGACACCUUUUCCCUCUAAAAAAAAAUCAAUUAAAAUAAAUUGACAUGAAAAUAAAUUGACAAUGAAAAUAAAUUGACAAUGAAAAUAUCCUAUUUAAAAGCUCCCACCUUAAGGUACCCUAGGUACUACCUUAGCUAAACAUGAACUCAACCUCUCCCAAGCCUUGGGUCUUCCUUUGUGACCCUUAGAGCAUCCCAUUAUGUGGUUCUCUUGAGUGCUCAGGUGGUCCACCAAUGGUUUUUUGGGACUGUACCUUAGGUACACCUUAAUGACCUUUAAGUAUUACCUUAAGAGACCCUAGGUACUACCUUAACUAAACUUGAACUCAACCUCUCCCAAGCCUCGGGCUUUCCUUUGUGAGCCUUAGAGCAUCUCAUUAUGUGGUUCUCUUGAGUGCUCAAGUGGUCCACCAAAGGUUUUUUGCAAUUGUACCUUAGGUACUACCUUAAGAGCCCUUAGGUACUACCUUAAUGGCCUUUAGGUACUACCUUAAGGGACCCUAGGUACUACCUUAGCUAAACAUGAACUCAACCUCUCCCAAGCCUCGGGUCUUCCUUUGUGACCCUUAGAGCAUCCCAUUAUGCGGUUCUCUUGAGUGCUCAAGAGGUUCAUCAAAGGUUUUUUGGGACUGUACCUUAAGUACUACCUUAAGGGCCCUUAGGUACUACCUUAAUGACCUUUAGGUACUAGCUUAAGGGACCCUAGGUACUACCUUAAGGUAAACAUGAACUCAACCUCUCCCAAGCCUCGGGCCUUCUUUUGUGACCCUUAAAGCAUCCCAUUAUGUGGUUCUCUUGAGUGCUCAAGUGGUCUACCAAUGGUUUUUUGGGACUGUACCUUAGGUACUACCUUAAGGGCCCUUAGGUACUACCUUAAUGGCCCUUAGGUACUACCUUAAGGGACCCUAGUUAUUACCUUAGCUAAACAUGAACUCAACCUCUCCCA
rnacentral:lncRNA from 1 species